rnacentral:rRNA from 1 species
GGUUAAGCGACUAAGCGUACACGGUGGAUGCCCUGGCAGUCAGAGGCGAUGAAGGACGUGCUAAUCUGCGAUAAGCGUCGGUAAGGUGAUAUGAACCGUUAUAACCGGCGAUUUCCGAAUGGGGAAACCCAGUGUGAUUCGUCACACUAUCAUUAACUGAAUCCAUAGGUUAAUGAGGCGAACCGGGGGAACUGAAACAUCUAAGUACCCCGAGGAAAAGAAAUCAACCGAGAUUCCCCCAGUAGCGGCGAGCGAACGGGGAGCAGCCCAGAGCCUGAAUCAGUGUGUGUGUUAGUGGAAGCGUCUGGAAAGGCGUGCGAUACAGGGUGACAGCCCCGUACACAAAAAUGCACAUACUGUGAGCUCGAUGAGUAGGGCGGGACACGUGGUAUCCUGUCUGAAUAUGGGGGGACCAUCCUCCAAGGCUAAAUACUCCUGACUGACCGAUAGUGAACCAGUACCGUGAGGGAAAGGCGAAAAGAACCCCGGCGAGGGGAGUGAAAAAGAACCUGAAACCGUGUACGUACAAGCAGUGGGAGCACGCUUAGGCGUGUGACUGCGUACCUUUUGUAUAAUGGGUCAGCGACUUAUAUUCUGUAGCAAGGUUAACCGAAUAGGGGAGCCGAAGGGAAACCGAGUCUUAACUGGGCGUUAAGUUGCAGGGUAUAGACCCGAAACCCGGUGAUCUAGCCAUGGGCAGGUUGAAGGUUGGGUAACACUAACUGGAGGACCGAACCGACUAAUGUUGAAAAAUUAGCGGAUGACUUGUGGCUGGGGGUGAAAGGCCAAUCAAACCGGGAGAUAGCUGGUUCUCCCCGAAAGCUAUUUAGGUAGCGCCUCGUGAAUUCAUCUCCGGGGGUAGAGCACUGUUUCGGCAAGGGGGUCAUCCCGACUUACCAACCCGAUGCAAACUGCGAAUACCGGAGAAUGUUAUCACGGGAGACACACGGCGGGUGCUAACGUCCGUCGUGAAGAGGGAAACAACCCAGACCGCCAGCUAAGGUCCCAAAGUCAUGGUUAAGUGGGAAACGAUGUGGGAAGGCCCAGACAGCCAGGAUGUUGGCUUAGAAGCAGCCAUCAUUUAAAGAAAGCGUAAUAGCUCACUGGUCGAGUCGGCCUGCGCGGAAGAUGUAACGGGGCUAAACCAUGCACCGAAGCUGCGGCAGCGACGCUUAUGCGUUGUUGGGUAGGGGAGCGUUCUGUAAGCCUGCGAAGGUGUGCUGUGAGGCAUGCUGGAGGUAUCAGAAGUGCGAAUGCUGACAUAAGUAACGAUAAAGCGGGUGAAAAGCCCGCUCGCCGGAAGACCAAGGGUUCCUGUCCAACGUUAAUCGGGGCAGGGUGAGUCGACCCCUAAGGCGAGGCCGAAAGGCGUAGUCGAUGGGAAACAGGUUAAUAUUCCUGUACUUGGUGUUACUGCGAAGGGGGGACGGAGAAGGCUAUGUUGGCCGGGCGACGGUUGUCCCGGUUUAAGCGUGUAGGCUGGUUUUCCAGGCAAAUCCGGAAAAUCAAGGCUGAGGCGUGAUGACGAGGCACUACGGUGCUGAAGCAACAAAUGCCCUGCUUCCAGGAAAAGCCUCUAAGCAUCAGGUAACAUCAAAUCGUACCCCAAACCGACACAGGUGGUCAGGUAGAGAAUACCAAGGCGCUUGAGAGAACUCGGGUGAAGGAACUAGGCAAAAUGGUGCCGUAACUUCGGGAGAAGGCACGCUGAUAUGUAGGUGAAGUCCCUCGCGGAUGGAGCUGAAAUCAGUCGAAGAUACCAGCUGGCUGCAACUGUUUAUUAAAAACACAGCACUGUGCAAACACGAAAGUGGACGUAUACGGUGUGACGCCUGCCCGGUGCCGGAAGGUUAAUUGAUGGGGUUAGCGCAAGCGAAGCUCUUGAUCGAAGCCCCGGUAAACGGCGGCCGUAACUAUAACGGUCCUAAGGUAGCGAAAUUCCUUGUCGGGUAAGUUCCGACCUGCACGAAUGGCGUAAUGAUGGCCAGGCUGUCUCCACCCGAGACUCAGUGAAAUUGAACUCGCUGUGAAGAUGCAGUGUACCCGCGGCAAGACGGAAAGACCCCGUGAACCUUUACUAUAGCUUGACACUGAACAUUGAGCCUUGAUGUGUAGGAUAGGUGGGAGGCUUUGAAGUGUGGACGCCAGUCUGCAUGGAGCCGACCUUGAAAUACCACCCUUUAAUGUUUGAUGUUCUAACGUUGACCCGUAAUCCGGGUUGCGGACAGUGUCUGGUGGGUAGUUUGACUGGGGCGGUCUCCUCCUAAAGAGUAACGGAGGAGCACGAAGGUUGGCUAAUCCUGGUCGGACAUCAGGAGGUUAGUGCAAUGGCAUAAGCCAGCUUGACUGCGAGCGUGACGGCGCGAGCAGGUGCGAAAGCAGGUCAUAGUGAUCCGGUGGUUCUGAAUGGAAGGGCCAUCGCUCAACGGAUAAAAGGUACUCCGGGGAUAACAGGCUGAUACCGCCCAAGAGUUCAUAUCGACGGCGGUGUUUGGCACCUCGAUGUCGGCUCAUCACAUCCUGGGGCUGAAGUAGGUCCCAAGGGUAUGGCUGUUCGCCAUUUAAAGUGGUACGCGAGCUGGGUUUAGAACGUCGUGAGACAGUUCGGUCCCUAUCUGCCGUGGGCGCUGGAGAACUGAGGGGGGCUGCUCCUAGUACGAGAGGACCGGAGUGGACGCAUCACUGGUGUUCGGGUUGUCAUGCCAAUGGCACUGCCCGGUAGCUAAAUGCGGAAGAGAUAAGUGCUGAAAGCAUCUAAGCACGAAACUUGCCCCGAGAUGAGUUCUCCCUGACUCCUUGAGAGUCCUGAAGGAACGUUGAAGACGACGACGUUGAUAGGCCGGGUGUGUAAGCGCAGCGAUGCGUUGAGCUAACCGGUACUAAUGAACCGUGAGGCUUAACCUU